AGUGAACGCUGGCGGUAGGCCUAACACAUGCAAGUCGAACGGCAGCACAGUAAGAGCUUGCUCUUACGGGUGGCGAGUGGCGGACGGGUGAGGAAUACAUCGGAAUCUACUUUUUCGUGGGGGAUAACGUAGGGAAACUUACGCUAAUACCGCAUACGCCCUACGGUUGAAAGCAUGGGAUCUUCUGACCUUGCGCGAUUGAAUGAGCCGAUGUCGGAUUAGCUAGUUGGCGGGGUAAAGGCCCACCAAGGCGACGAUCCGUAGCUGGUCUGAGAGGAUGAUCAGCCACACUGGAACUGAGACACGGUCCAGACUCCUACGGGAGGCAGCAGUGGGGAAUAUUGGACAAUGGGCGCAAGCCUGAUCCAGCCAGACCGCGUGGGUGAAGAAGGCCUUCGGGUUGUAAAGCCCUUUUGUUGGGAAAGAAAAGCAGCAGGUUAAUACCCCGCUGUUCUGACGGUACCCAAAGAAUAAGCACCGGCUAACUUCGUG
rnacentral:rRNA from 1 species